rnacentral:lncRNA from 1 species
CAUGGCUCCAAAACGACAAGCAUUAAAAAACACAAAACUACCAGUUUCAAUUGUCUGCUUUUGUCUGAGGUCUAUGCCUGAGAAAUCAAGGUGGCAGAAACAGACAGUGCAAAUUAUUAAGGGGCAAAAUUUUCAAUUUCUACAGUUUAUAGAUAUGCGUGGCAAGAGCAGGAGAACUGCUAUUAGGAACAUGCUCAAGAGAGUGCAGUUGACGAAUGUACUCGCCAACAUUGUCCAGUAAUUUCUGCUUCUACGAUCCUUGCAGAACAUUCUUUGCUGAACUUGACUCUUACGAUCUUAUCGUACACAUAAAGCCUGGUUAACUUUUGCUUCGUACAGGGAGUUUAACGUAUGAUAACAAAAACAUGCAUGGAUUGUUGUUGUGGCCAUAGUUAAACAAGAAAAUACAUCUGUUAUAGCUUCAGCAUCUUGUUUUUAAAUGGGUUUUCAAUAACC